AUCUCUCUCUCUCUCUCUCUCUCUCUCUCUCUCUUUCUCUCUCUCUCUCUCUCUCUCUCUCUCUCUCUCUCUCUCUCUCUCUGCGACCAUUUUCAAACACCACAGAGACGAUUAGCCAUGUUCUAAAGAGUGUUCUGUUUGUUGAUAAUGCACAAACCUUGUUAAUCUGGCACUAAUAUAAGAAAUGUCUUUUAAAAACCUGUGUCACUUCAACUAGAGCCCGCAGAGGUGAUGUGCCGAGUUCUAAAACGUAUUUAUCCCGUUCAUAAUAAUGCAGAGAAACCUUGCUAAAAUGUCGCUAGAAUAAAAAAAAUGUCUUUAAAAACCCGUGUCACUUCAACUAGAGAGCAAAGAGAUUAUUAGCAGAGUUGAAAAGAGUGUUUGUCCCGUUAAUAAUGCAGAAACGUUAUAAAAAGUGUCACUAAUCACAGAAACGCCUUUAAAUACCCGUGUCACUUCAACUAGAGAGCAAAGAGAUGAUUAGCAGAGUUCUAAAGAGUGUUUGUUCCGUUGAUAAAACACAAAACUUGUUAAUUUGGAACUAGAAUUACAGAAACGCCUUUUAAAUACCCGUGUCACCUCAACUAGAAACCACAGAGAAGACUAGCCGAGUUGAAAAGAGUGUUUGUUCCGUUGAUAAUGCAAAAACCUUGUUAAUUUGGCACUAAAAUUACAGAAACGCCUUUAACAACCAGUGCCACUUCAAUUAGAGACCACAGAGACGAUAAGCCGAAUAAUUACAACCGUUAUCAAUCAAAAGACGAUACUCAUUAAAAGGAAAAAGAAAAAUGAGAUAAUAAAUUAAGUAAAGAAAAUAGGAAAUAAGAAAAAGAUAGUCAACGGUUGCCAUUUUCCACAGUCUGCCUUUCCUGAGAAGUGUAAGCAAGACAGAGCUAAACAGAGCCACAUAGAGCCACGCAGAGCCACGCAGAGCCAAGCAGAGGCACACAUAACCAUCAGCCUCAGUGUAACAUCUCAUAAUGAAUUGUUUGUCCCUUUUUUUCCCUUUUUUGUGGCCAGAUUUGCAUGACCCGGGUAUUCCAUUCACGUCGCUGUGCUCAAGCUAAUGCCAUGCCACGCCACGCCCCCGCCCCGCCCCGCCCCGCCCGCCACAACACAGUGCUAUACUCAAUUCUGAACACAUGAGUCAGAAAAAAAAGUUACAAAGAUAGAAGAAAAAAUAGAAAGAAAAGAAAAGAAUAUGUAAAAUUAAAGUUUGUCUCAAUUAAAGUUUAAAAAUGAAGCUUCGAAAAAUGUGACAAAUUGAAGGAAAAAAAAAAAAAAAAAGAAGAAAGUCACAAGGAUACACACACAAAAAAAAAAAAAUAUAUAUAUAAAUUGGAGUUUGAGUUAAAAAAAAAUGUCUAAAAUUAAAGUUGUAAAAUGUGACAAAUUGAAGGAAAAAAAGCUUAAUAUCACGGGGAAAAUAAUAACUGUUUGUGUUUUCAUGUUUUUCUCGUAUGAGUAUUCGUAUUUAUAUUAUUUUCAAACUUUGGACGAUAAGUAUUGACUAACACGGUCCUAUAAUGAAGAGUGUUCCGUAAUUCCCCUACUGUGUGUUGUAAAAAGAAAAAGACCAAUAAAUUCUAAUGAAAAAAACAAGAAAUAGCCAUGAAAUUUUUAGAAACGUUACGAUAAAGAAAGAAAAAGUAAAUAAAAGAUGCAGAAAUAUUUAGAAGUCAGUGAACAAAUAAAAAAAUAAAUAAAGAUGCAGAAAUAUUUUAAAUCAGUGAACGAAGAAAAAAAUAAAUAAUAAGAGGUGGAGAAAUAUUUUAGAAGACUCAGUGAACGAAGAAAGACAAAAUAAAUAAAAGAUGCAGAAAUAUUAAGAAGAGACAGUGAACAUGUUAUUGGUCGAAGCAUUGAAGCUGAGUGAGCAAGCUUAAGCGUUACAGCAGCAGGCAAAACACUGUGCACCGCUAAAGUAGAUAUACAAGUAGGAAUAGUGAAAAUAAAUAGAGAAAAUAAAGAAUCGAAAUAAAAAAAACACAAAAAAAGUUAUAUAAAGUAAAAGAAUUAUAUAAACUUUGCAAAAUUUUGUCAUACGUUAAAUUUACAAAGGAAGAUACAAAAGUUACGUUAUUUGCUGAAAGAGUCGAGAAGAAUAACACCUCAAUGAAUAAAUAGAUAAAUAAAUAAAUAAAUAAACAGGUGAAUAAGUAAUAAUAAAAGUAAUAAUGAUAAUAAAACCAAACAAAAUAUUUUCAUUAUCGGAAUAAAAUGAUGGAAUAAAAACAUAGAAAAAAAAAUUAAUUACAAGGAUAAAAAAAAAAUAGUAAAGGAAAAAAAAAUUGAAGACUUAAAAACAUCGUAAAAUUUAUCACUGUGGGAAAUAAAGACGAAGAAAAAUAAUUACAUGGAAUAGAAAAAAUAGAAAACAAGAAAAAGAUUAUAUAAAAAAACAUCGAAAAAAUAAUCACUGUGGAAAAAAAACGGAAAAAUAAAAUAAUUAGCCACUCCCACAAACACUUCCCCAUGAAAAAAAAAAAAAAAUAAAUAGAAAUAAACAAAACCAAACAACAACAAACAACAACAACAAAAUUCCAGCCCAGUGUACACGCGGCAACCUUGAACCAUACACGUAUGAAACGAAAUUGUGCCUUUAUUUAUGACGCUCACUGUAAAUGCCCCUAGAACCCUGACACCCCCCGUGCCCCCUCACCCCCUGCCCCUAAAACCCUCACACCACCAGCCCCUUCCCUGACUCCACCACAACUACUCCAAAAACGUUUCCCAGAGUCUCCAAAACGCAACGAAAUUCCCUAAAAAAUAUUCGGGUAAAAAAAAACGUUUACUAGAAUCCUAAAAGUCCCAAGAAACGUUUCCCAGUCUCCAAAAAUGUUACGAAAUUCCCUUCUUCCCCCCCAAAAAAAAAUAUGCGGGUCAAAAAACGUUUAUCAGAAUCCUAAAAACGUUUCCUCAAAGCCCAAAAAUGUUUCUCACUCUCUCCAAAACGCCACGAAAUCCUAAAAAAAUAUUCGGAUAAAAAAAAAACGUUUAUCGAAAUCCUAACAUUUCUUAAAAGCCCCCCCCAAAAAAAAACGUUUCCCAGUCUCCAAAACGUUACGAAAUUCCCCCCCCCAAAAAAAAAUGCGGGUAAAAAAAAAAACGUUUACUAGAAUUCUAAAAAGGAACUCAAUGUCCAUAAACGUUAACCAAAGUCCCCAAACUGUACUAGAAUGCCAUAUCAAAACGUUUUUCUAAUGAUGAACUUCGCACUCAUGCCCCAAAACUUUCUAGAAAACCCUAAAAUAUUACCUUACCCCCCAAAAAAAAACGUUUCACAUGCCUACCAACCUUUCCUGCCCCCUCCCCCCCAUCACCCCAUACGAGUCCCACACCACCACUCCUACACCCUUCUCACCCCCUUCCUCCCCCUACUGGUCCUUUCCAACACCCUAAAACGUUAUUUUCACCCCAAAAAACGUUUCACAAGCUUACAAACUUUCCUCUCUCCACUUCCCAUCACCCAUGCGAGUCCCACACCACCCUACACCCCUCUCUGGUCCUCCCCAUCACCCCUUCCUUGUCAUCCCCGCCGCUACACCGAACACAGAGAUAUAUUGAAGAGAAAUGAACGAAUAAUGAGAAAUAACAACAACAACUGCCCGCUACGUGAUUCCAAAACGAAAUAAUCAAAAUGAAAACCAAAAAAAUGUGAAAUGAGUUACGAUUUUGUUUUUAGCUUACAAACAUACAUACAUACAAAACCUGGUUGAUUUUCUUUUUUUUUUUUUCCUUGCUUCCUAUCCUUCCAACAAAUAAACGAAUAAAAUAGAUAAAUAAAUAAACCCCUUAAAAUUUACCUCAUUUAAACCUCACCCAACACCACAAAAAUAGAAGUAAAAAAUGAAAAUACUAAAAAAAAAAAACCUUAUCCUACUUUGAAAAGCAUACAACCAUCUCGCGUUUUCUUUGGACGGUCUAAUUUUUAAGGGAUAACUGAAGCAGAGUUUUAUCUGUGUAUAUUAUCACUUAACUAGGAUUAGCUUAUCAACGUGUGUGUUAUUGAUGUAUUUUUUAUAUAUAUAUUUAUUUCUCUCUCUCUCUCUCUCUCUCUCUCUCUCUCUGUUGAAGUAUUACCGGUGUUACUUUAUAGAAAACGAGAUGAAGAUCUAACAUUAGUCUUUAUAUUAUGCACUCCUGUGUUCCUGACUGCUGGGUAUUAAAAUAUUGAUGAUGUUUGUAUAAAUCUGGUCUUAUUCUGUCUCUAAUUAGUUUCUCUCUCUCUCUCUCUCUCUCUCUCUCUCUCUCUCUCUAAAAAGGUAUUUGUACAGCGAGGUAUUUCUUAAUAAAUAUAUUCCGAUUCAG